GACGAACGCUGGCGGCGUGCUUAACACAUGCAAGUCGAACGGAAGGGCCCUGCUUUUGUGGGGUGCUCGAGUGGCGAACGGGUGAGUAACACGUGAGUAACCUGCCCUUGACUUUGGGAUAACUUCAGGAAACUGGGGCUAAUACCGGAUAGGAGCUCCUGCUGCAUGGUGGGGGUUGGAAAGUUUCGGCGGUUGGGGAUGGACUCGCGGCUUAUCAGCUUGUUGGUGGGGUAGUGGCUUUCAAAGGCUUUGACGGGUAGCCGGCCUGAGAGGGUGACCGGCCACAUUGGGACUGAGAGACGGCCCAGACUCCUACGGGAGGCAGCAGUGGGGAAUAUUGCACAAUGGGCGGAAGCCUGAUGCAGCAACGCCGCGUGCGGGAUGACGGCCUUCGGGCUGUAAACCGCUUUCGCCGGUGACGAAGCGUGAGUGACGGUAAUGGGUAAAGAAGCACCGGCUAACUACGUG
rnacentral:rRNA from 1 species